GUGCUUUUUGGCAAAACUUUCAGUCGGCUAUUGUGUGUUUUCAAUGAGGAAUGUAAAGUAUUCUGUCUGGGACCUGUACCAAAGAAGUCUGAUUGGUGGAGCUGCAGGGAUGGCUGUCCUUCUGUAAGUCUGAACUCAGGAUCUCAUUUAUAGUGUCCCAUUUGACCACUCUGUCCAAGGCCCUUCACCCCUGACUACUCGGUUUAUCUGCAAAGACUGUUAGUAGUUUCAAAUCUCUUCCAUUUGAGAAUGAUAAAGGCUAUCCUGCUCCUGAAUGUUUUGUUUUUUUUUAUCCUUCUUCAGGUCUGUGUCUUGUGAGUCUACAGAUAAAUCCCUCGACCUCAUGGAUUCGUUUUUUCACUCUGACAUACAGCAUCCAUACAGUGAGACCUCAUAAAGACAGGGAGUUAUGCCACAAAAACCUCAGUCUUUCUGUACAUGCACGCGUGAACUCACCCGACGGAGCAAAUUUUGAAGCGUGUCCUGUCAAAGUGCAGCACUUUAACUUCCUGCAGAUGAAUAAAUAAAAGGAGCCAUGGGAGGAUGCGAGGCUUGGUGCAUAUUCAGGACAAAUCGAGGAACAAGGGGAGUGAGUCCAUAGCAGGGCACACAAACACACACACACUUACUGUACACACUAUGAUAAAUUUGGAAAGAGUAAUUGGUGUGUCUUUGUACUGUGGGAGGAAAUAGGAGCACCCAGAGGAAACCCACCAAGCACCAUGAAAACUCCACGUACACAGACCCCAGGCUCUGUCAGGACUGUGAUCUCAAACCCUCUACCCUGGAGGUACAAGACCCUCCACCCUGACACCUUAAGGUUCCAAUCCUGUCUUUCCGUAUAUUUUUACUCACUGCUCAUAUUAUCUGUAAAAGAUGUCUAACUUUUAUUUUAAAUACUUUUCUUUAAAUAAAAACCCUCAUUGAUUUGAUUGACAGUGUUUUUCCUUGUAGACAUAUACAGUGGAACCUUGGAUUGCAAGCAUAAUUUGUUCUGGGAGCGUGCUUGUACAUCAAAACUCAUGUAUAUCAAAGUGAAUUUCCCAAAUGAGAAAUAAUGAAAAGUCAGACGAUUCGUUCUACAACACGAAAAUAUUCAUAUAAAAAUAAUGGAUACAAAAUAUAAAUGUUAAAAAAAAAAAUUAUUGAGUAAAAUUAUACUAUUUAAGUAUUAGUAUUAUUUGUACUUUAAAAAGUACAAAUAAAUCCAGACAGAACAGUGUUUCCGUUUUGUGUGUGCAAGUGCUGGGUAUAUGUGUGACCCUUUUAAAUGAUACGCGUAAGGAAAAUAAACUUUCACUGCUGUAAAGUAAAAAUAAAACAAAUUAACCUGCACUUUACCUUUGAAAAGAAUUUUUAUCAAAACUCGCAAUCCAAGGUUCCACUAUACUGUAAAAAGUGAGCAUUAGGAUACAUGAUCUUAAUAUGCCAUG